ensembl:lncRNA
GAUGACCCGCAGCGGCUCUUUGCGCUCUUCUUGGGGAGGUUUCGCUUCAGGAUAGCGGCUCUGCGUUGCGCGGUGCUCUGCUCUGCCCCCCACCUGGUGGCCAUCACUCGCCUUAAUCCUUUAAGAGGAGGAAACGCAGAGCGCCUUGACUUUUGCGUACAGCCGCUCAGCCAAACAAAACGCGACCACCUAUCAAUUCGUAAAUCUCUCCCCCCCCCGGCCGCCCCUCCUCUGCUCUCCUCUCCUCCUCCCUCCCCUCCCCUCCCCUCUCCUCCUCAAAAAAGCCCUCAAAGAAAUCAGCAUCGACCAGGGACCCACCUCCCCACCCCAUUUCUGGCCCCUGCCCAGUCAUCUUCUGAGCAGGAGGCGCUACAGCGGCACCAGAGACCCUCUUCCCGCCUGACAUCUCAAAUACACGCAAUUAGACCAUUUAUCAAAGCUUCUCGAGACGUCUCAAAUCAACAUCGCCACACGCCAAAUGCGCAAGCACAACAGCGAAACGCAAAAGGGCCCGAAUGGCCGCAGAAUUUCCUGCGACUUGAAGGCGCAGGGCCCCCCGCCGCGUCCAGGAUGCGCUCGGGCUGGGAGGAAGCCUCGGAACGCACCCAGAACCCUUUGAAGACGCCAAACACGACCUGAAAAUACAAGUGCGUUCUGAACCUCAGCGGGGCCGUCGUUUUAAAGUCACCCGAGGACAGAUUUUGAAUUUGUAAGAGAACAAUUUCUAAGAGAGCAAAGGACUUCCUGGAGAAAUUACCUGGCAACAGUCUGCUGUUUGUAGUGUUGGCGGGAGAUUUCAUCAUUAGUCUAAUUUCAGAAGGGUGCAAGCGUCAAAUGUAGUAAAAUCUGGCAUGCAAAAGAAGGAUAAUACGAAAAUUCCACUUGAGAUGUUGUUACAUCUUCGGCUGAGUAAAAUCCAUAUUUCGCAAACCUCACCAUUCUUGUCAUUUUAGGCCACCCAGAACGAACGUGAGACGCGCACGCGUUUUCCCGGAGUUCCGCACGUGCAGUUCUUGCUCACUUGUCGUGCAGUGGCCUGUGUUUCGUCCAAGCUUGCAUCUGGGAGGUUAAGCCCGAGACGUAUGAGAUCAGAAGCAGACUGGGGGCGAAGAAACAAUUUACUCAACACGUGGCUGGUGCACUCAGGUGUGCCGUUCUGGCGUUCCACCUGCAGGUUGCAGCAUUGUGCUUGAAACCGCGUCUUUUCUCCCGCACACUCACCUGGCACCUGCGAUCCUGUGGAGGGGUACGCGAGCACUGCAUGUCUAGGGUAAAUUUGCGCAACGAGGAUGCCUAGUUCCAGUUACUUUCCUACAUUUGCUUUUUUUUUCUGAAUUGUCAGUUCAAUAAGUUACGUGGGCAAAGAGGCCCUGUCUGGAUGGCUGUCACUUCCCUAAGUCGAUAACUUAAUGUAUUUUAAAUACUACACAUUUUGACAGUAGAAAUCUGUUAAUCAUUUACGUUUAUUACAUUUAUUACAUUUACAUUACAUUACAUUUAUUUAGCAGACGCUUUUCUCCAAAGUGACAUGUGGGAGAAAAUACAAAUGUGUCCGUUACAGCAACAGAAGGAGAGAUUUUAAUGCAGACACGUGAUUCUAGAGUACAAUUAAUAGCGAAACUGUCACUCAUUGCUGUGCUGGGAUCUGUCUUUAACACUUCUCUGUCAUAUAUACAUGGGGUGUAUUAGAUUCAUCAUUGCUUUAAAAUAUUUUUGGACACUUCCUGCCUAAAAUUUAUAGAUUAAGAAAUGAAAAUCGGUUGCCCUCCGCCUGCUUUAAAGAAAAAUGCUGACAAACAAUAAAUUAUUAUUAUUAUUAUUAUUAUUAUUAUUA